rnacentral:lncRNA from 1 species
AACAGCUAUACUAUCUGUACAAGUACAUUAACAGUAUUUAUACCGACCGUCCCUAGAGCAAGUGGUAAAAGGCUUGGUGGUUGGUACCCGAGACCUAAGUUCGAAUCCUAGUUGAUUCACAUUUCUCACUAAGUUUAUUUCUAAAUAAAAUAAAUGUAGCGGGUAACGUACUGCUAUCUAUCUCUAAAAAAAAAACAUUAUUUAUGUUCCUGGAA